rnacentral:rRNA from 1 species
UACGUAGGGUGCGAGCGUUAAUCGGAAUUACUGGGCGUAAAGCGUGCGCAGGCGGUUCGUGAUGUCUGGUGUGAAAGCCCCGGGCGUAACCUGGGAAUUGCAUUGGAAACUAGCGGGCUGGAGUGUGGCAGAGGGGGGUGGAAUUCCACGUGUAGCAGUGAAAUGCGUAGAGAUGUGGAGGAACACCGAUGGCGAAGGCAGCCCCCUGGGCUAACACUGACGCUCAUGCACGAAAGCGUGGGGAGCAAACAGG